rnacentral:rRNA from 1 species
UACGUAGGGGGCAAGCGUUGUCCGGAAUCAUUGGGCGUAAAGCGCGUGUAGGCGGCCCGGUAAGUCCGCUGUGAAAGUCCAGGGCUCAACCCUGGGAUGCCGGUGGAUACUGUCGGGCUCGAGUCCGGAAGAGGAGUGUGGAAUUCCUGGUGUAGCGGUGAAAUGCGCAGAUAUCAGGAGGAACACCAAUGGCGAAGGCAGCACUCUGGGGACGUGACUGACGGCUGAGACGCGAAAA